AAUCAUCGAAAACAAUCAAAGA
rnacentral:miRNA from 14 species